rnacentral:lncRNA from 1 species
GGAGCCUUUCAAAUUUAAACAAAGCCAUGUCUGUGACCGUGGUUUGGAGUUAUCUAUUAGAGUCUGGUGGGCUCAUUACAGGGUACAAAACUGGAGGCAAUGUGCCCCUCCCACCAAGAAAUGGACAAUCUUCUAUUAGUGAAGCAUGGAGUCUCUCCCCACUUUGAACUGUCUUACUAUUUUGCAGGGACACCAUCAUGCUUAGAGGGCCAUUUUCUCUUAUUCUUGCUAAUGGUGAAGUACUUAAAAACAAAACCAACCAGUCAAACAGACCCUUAAGGCAUUAAAGAAGAAUGGCUUGAGAUGACACCCUUUGAACUCUGGGAAGAUGAGUGAGACCAUCUUGAGACUGGGCUAUAAGGGACUGUUACUGCCACAGCCUGUUGAGAAGAUCACAGAGCUCUGAGGAAGAACGAAUCUGGCAGUAAAAUAAAGAUGAAGGUUGCAGC